rnacentral:lncRNA from 1 species
CAUCUCCAACUCAGUAUAGUGUUGAGUUUACGCCCGUCAAGACGGUGAAUGGAAGCAUUUCGGAAAGCGAACACAAAAAAUUAUCACAAAAAAUAUCCGGGUAGAAAAUAGUAUUACACAGCGAAAGCACAAAAACAAAGCGGUACUCGUACUGCAACAACUCAAAAGUGAAGAGCAACAACGCAAAUGAAUUACUAUGAAAAACGUAAAUUGUGUGAAGCUACUGUGUAAAAUUGGUGUAACGAAAAUUUAUUUGCGUAGCAUAACUAGUUAAAGCGUUCAAGUGCCAAAAAGUAUGCAGUGAAAAUAUUGAGUAAAACAAGUAGUGUGCUGACGUUUGGAAAAGUUACGCUGUUAAUGCGCGUCUCAAUGGGUGUCAAGAGCUACGCAAAACUGUUGUAAUUUAGCCGGUGAAACUUUGCGCUGUGCCUGUCAAUGUGACUGACACAAUAGCAAGUGUUGCAUACUUUUCGGCUAUUGUAGCAAAAAUUGUUAGCUAAACGAAUUACUUGCUUCGGGUAUCGAAUAUCACGCGUUGCGUUGGAAGUUUUGCAGUUAGCAGUGAUAUAAUUGAAUUUUCCAUUGCUUGUCUCACUUAAAUAUGUUUGUAAGUUAUGUGUAUGUGUAUACAAAAGCUUAAAGUAACAAAGUUUAUAUAUUGAAUUGGAAAAAAUACUUCAAAAUACUUAAAAAUAUAACAAGUAAUGUAAAAACAGUGCAAGUGUCUAUAAAGAACAGUUAUUUAAUAAAUAUUUGUGCUUUUACAGCCAUAUGCGCCUAAGGCUAUACUACUAAAACUGCGUUGGUUUGUUUUUACAGCUGUAUUGCUUACUGUUGCAGCAGUAGCGUUUCAACGUUUGACAUUUUUUUUCUUGGAUAGCAAUGUGAGCGAUAUUUGGGGUGUAUAAGUGCAGACUAAAUAACCAAAUUACUAAUUCCUGGUAAUAAACUAGCUGCUUUUAGUAAGAUACACUGGCAGCGGCAGAUAGCCAGGGGCGCGGGGAAAGCAGCAACGAAAAAAAGUAAGAGUAAAUAACAACAGCAACAACAACAAAAUACACAAACAUAAAAUAGCAUCGUGAUGGCAUGUCUACAAAAACAACAAGUGCAAGCAACAGCACACAGUGACACGUCGUAAUGAUGUUGCUUUAUGCCAAAACAAGCGCAAGCAACCACAACAAUAACAACAACAGCAGCAGCCGCAGUAAACAGUACCAGAUAACAAGCGACAUUAAAAACCAGUAACAGGCACUUGACAUUUUUAAAAUGUAAUCAAGCGUCAACGAGCACAAAGCGCACGCUGCCACUGACACAUUGCUUGACAUACAUUUAGGCGCACAUACAAGCGUUUGCUUUCACGCUUUUUGCUGCGCGUCCAUUUGCGCAUUUUACGAGCGUUUGCCAUAAGCAAAUUAACAACAAAAGCGAAGUAGGUGUGGAAGAGGUUGAAAAUGAAGGAAGCGGAAACGAACAAGCAGAAGGAAUAGUAGUAGAAUUCGAAGAAACAGCAGAAAAAAAAUACAACAACAAGUAGCAAAUACGGAUAACAAGAAAGCGCACAGCUGCCGCAUAACAGGCAUGAAAACGGCACGAGGAAAUAAAAUUUGAAUAGACAACAGCCAAGUGGACGUGAGUGCGCGCCUAAAAGCAGACACGACUGCUGCGAAGUCAGCUUCCCCAGGCGACCUAAUUCAAUUGCUGGCGCGUUGAAUAACUGGACGUGAAGGUGACAAGACAAAAGCGCAGAAAUAGAAAAUAUACCAACAACAACAACAAAACUAAGCUUACACAAAAGAGUAAAGAGCGAGCUGAAAUGCAAAUGUAAACAAGUUGAUGCGCAAAUGCCUGUCAGUUGGAAUUUUUGCAAAUAAAUAGCGACGUUAAAUAUUCCCAACUACAACAACAACAA